GACAACUUUUCAAUUUAAAAGAGCGACGGAGAAAGAGAGAUAAAGAGGGAGCGCAAGUGCGAGAGACAACGAAAGAGAGACUUUAUGACUCUCAUCGUACGACCUUGUGUCCGCGCCUUGUAAAAAAUGCUUAAGGUUAACGAUCUACAGCGGCAAAUGAGAAAUGUAUGCGAAAACUGCAGAUCUAUACCAUAUACACGCGCCGCUGCCCAAGCGUUGUCGUCUAUGCCACAACUUUCAAAGCGAACGAGAACAAAGGCAUAUUGGUCACUGUUAUUCGCGUUGUCGUUGUUGUUGUUAAUAACGAUGACUCGAUGUUUGUGCGGUUUUUGUUUGUUUUUUUUUUAUUUAAUUUUCGAGUUUAUAAUAGUUACUCACCGACUGAGCGAUCUUUAUGUAUGAAACGGCGACAAAUAUGGAGAUUUACAUUCUGGUUGCCAACGUCUCUGCUCCACCAAUUUCCGGAAAUUCCAGGAAUAUUAUUAUGGCGACCGAAUCAGUGCCAAGCCAACUGAAGGUUUGGGAGUUGUGGCAAAUGAAGAGACAUACUAAUAAAUAACUAACGAAAAUAAAUGUUGUCGAGUUGCUGCUCUCUCACUCUCUUCGAAUGGCUCAUUAGUUUUUUUCUUUGCACUUUAUGGAUGACAACACGAUCGAUAUUGACUGAUACUCACACCAUACGCACACAAAC